rnacentral:rRNA from 1 species
CNGCGGCUUAUUUGACUCAACACGGGGAAACUCACCAGGUCCAGACAAAAUAAGGAUUGACAGAUUGAGAGCUCUUUCUUGAUCUUUUGGAUGGUGGUGCAUGGCCGUUCUUAGUUGGUGGAGUGAUUUGUCUGCUUAAUUGCGAUAACGAACGAGACCUCGGCCCUUAAAUAGCCCGGUCCGCAUUUGCGGGCCGCUGGCUUCUUAGGGGGACUAUCGGCUCAAGCCGAUGGAAGUGCGAGGCAAUAACAGGUCUGUGAUGC